CUGAUGCCCAAAGUGGUUUUCCGAGUUCCUUUCAUUCUGUUUCAAGGCUGAGUGUUAGUGAAUGGGUGAAUGGGAGAGGUUACGUAUAUACACAGCCAUGAAUACUGACGCCCAAAGAGGUUUUCCGAGUUCCUUUCAUUCUGUUUCAAGGCUGGAGUGUUAGUGAAUGGGUGAAUGGGAUGGAUUAAGUAUAUACACAGCCAUGAAUACUGAUGCCCAAAGUGGUUUUCCGAGUUCCUUUCAUUCUGUUUCAAGGCUGGAUGCAGUGUUAGUAAACGAUACAAGAGUGAAAAGUUGUGCCUCCGUUUAUUUCUCUACAGGUGUCUGCCUGCCCACACGACUAAGAGGCGAGUGUCAUGCAGCUAACAGAGACAGACAAGUACUCUACACUACACUCCUGUUAACCAGUGAAUUAUAUUAGAAAAGAAAAGUCUCGACACAAGUUAACUCACAGCAGUCAUCAAAAUGCUUCCCUUCAUGUAGACAGACUGUGUUAUGCUGAUUCUCUAUAUAAAACCUAGCGAGAAACCUGUUACAAAUGUUAAGCUUAAUACAAAAUGACUUUGAUAUUCUUAAAAAGAGUUUAGCUUCAUAUUGUCUAAAAACUGAAUCUGUUCUGAUGUUAUUGAUCCUAUUUCAAUGCAAAGAUUUUCGUCAAUUCUUUACAACAUAUUCGUCCCAUAAAAGCCUUCUAAGCUAUGAUUUAAUACAGAGGAAUGCCAUGCAGGGUAGAGGGUCAAGCACUUGCGAUAUGAACAUUUUGAGGCAGCGCUUAAACUAACUAUCAACAAACUAUCAUUAACUUACAAGAACUAACUAAAUUAAUAAAGUUUUUUUCCACACACACAACUCCAUAACAAAGACUAUAAGUAGAAAAUUCUAUGACAACUUGCAUCAAACUAAGAUACAUAUACUACAGACACUUCUCUUUUGCUACCCUAAGUUACGUUACGAAGUCUACAUCAAUCGUAAAUCAUAAAUAGCAUCUUACGUAUCUAAAUAACCCUAGACUACGAAGUUACGAAGUCUAUAUCAAUCGUAAAUCAUAAAUAGCAUCUUACGUAUCUAAAUAAUCCUAGACUAUUUGAAUAACAAGCCGAGAAUUAGACGGAAAACUGUUGGUCUCAUAAAGCGAUUACUAGAGUGGCCAAAAGAGAGGUCAAUUUCGGAGGGAUAAGUUAAAUAGUGAGUUAAAUAGGUGAGUUAGCAUUGGUGUUAGUUGUAGAGGUCAUAUCCUAUCUCACUGUGUCUUAUGAAUAGGUUAAGUAAUAGCCGUAGAAGUUGUCCGAUCCCAAGAACAGACAAGAGAUAAGUUAAACAGGUGAGUUAGCAAUGGUGUUAGUUGUAGAGGUCAUCUCCUAUCUCACUGUGUCUUAUGAUAAGGUUAAGUGGUAGCAAUAGUAAUGGUUGUCCAAUCCCAAGAACUGACAAGAGAUAAGUUAAACAGGUGAGUUAGCAUUGGUGUUGGCAGUGGUGGCAAUGGCCCAUAACAUGCAGGGUAGCCAAGGCGUCAUGCAGUGGUCAGUUGGCGGGGACACUGGUGGUGCGCUUGGCCGGCCGAGACUCACUCCUGACGAUGAGGGUGAUAACGUCG